UGGGGAAUAUUGCACAAUGGGCGCAAGCCUGAUGCAGCGACGCCGCGUGGGGGAUGAAGGCCUUCGGGUUGUAAACUCCUUUCGCUAGGGACGAAGCCUUUUAGGUGACGGUACCUGGAGAAGAAGCACCGGCUAACUACGUGCCAGCAGCCGCGGUAAUACGUAGGGUGCGAGCGUUGUCCGGAAUUACUGGGCGUAAAGAGCUCGUAGGUGGUUUGUCGCGUCGUCUGUGAAAUCCCGGGGCUUAACUUCGGGCGUGCAGGCGAUACGGGCAUAACUUGAGUGCGGUAGGGGAGACUGGAAUUCCUGGUGUAGCGGUGAAAUGCGCAGAUAUCAGGAGGAACACCAAGGGCGAAGGCAGGUCUCUGGGCAGUAACUGACGCUGAGGAGCGAAAGCAUGGGUAGCGAACAGG
rnacentral:rRNA from 1 species